AAAUCUCACGGCGCAUGAAUUCUAGGCAACUCAUAGACUAGUGCCAGGCAACUCAAAUAGUAUGAUUCUGCCAACUCGUACAGUAUUAUGAGGCAAUUCCCAACCUCGAAGAACUACGAAUCUGGUAAAACAAAACCAUACACUGGAUGUUAAAUCUAACCACCAACCUCACCCGUUGAUCUGAACGGAAAUGGAGACAAAGGGUGCAGUUGGACCUUACCUCCCGAUUUCCACAACAAGUCCACUGCAGCGUCACCAGCGACCUGCGUUCUGCACCAAGCUCCGCCUUCCGCAGACACGCCGCACGCACGCAGCCUCGCGCUCCUCCGACGCACGCACCACCGCAUCCCAUCACUCCUUCAGUCGCGCGUACACCGCAGCCCGGCGCUCCUUUAGCCACGCGUGCGCAGACAACCGAAAGCCAGGCCCUCAACCGAGCGCGCACGCACCACCGAAGCACCCGUCCUCCUCCGUCGCGCGCACACGAGGCCCGCACCACGACCUCCGCUUUCUCCCGUAGCGUGCAUAUGUGGCGAGCGAGGAGGAGAGGAUGUGGAGGGGAUUAGGAAGAGGGCAAGGAGGGCGAGAGAGGAUUGGGAGAGACAGCGGCG
rnacentral:lncRNA from 1 species